rnacentral:rRNA from 1 species
CAAAGUGGGGGACCUUAAUGGCCUCACGCCAUCGGAUGUGCCCAGAUGGGAUUAGCUUGUUGGUGGGGUAAAGGCUCACCAAGGCGACGAUCCCUAGCUGGUCUGAGAGGAUGACCAGCCACACUGGAACUGAGACACGGUCCAGACUCCUACGGGAGGCAGCAGUGGGGAAUAUUGCACAAUGGGCGCAAGCCUGAUGCAGCCAUGCCGCGUGUGUGAAGAAGGCCUUCGGGUUGUAAAGCACUUUCAGCGGGGAGGAAGGUGGUGUGGUUAACAGCCACAUCAAUUGACGUUACCCGCAGAAGAAGCACCGGCU